UAUAACGGGAAUAAGUCUACUUCAGUCACUAUACAGUACUAUAACGGGAAGAUAAGGUGCUAUAUCAGUCCAUAUAACGAGGAAUAAGGUGCUAUAUCAGCACUAUACAGUCAUUAUAUCAGUCACUAUAUCAGUCUAUAUCAGUCACUAUAUCAGUCUCUAUAACGAGGAAUAAGGUGCUAUAUCAGUCACUAUCAGUCACUAUAACGAGGAAUACAGUGCUAUAUCAGUCACUAUAUCCAGUCUCUAUAUCAGUCAUAUAUCAGCACUAUAACGAGGAAUACGGUGCUAUAUCAGUCACAAUCAGUCUCUAUAUCAGUCACUAUAUCAGUCAUUAUAUCGGUCUCUAUAUCAAUCAUGAUCAAUCUCUAUAUCAGUCACUAUAUCAGUCUCUAUCAGUCACUAUCCGUCUCUAUAUCAGUCACAAUCAGUCUCUAUAUCAGCCACUCUAUCAGUCACUAUAUCAGUCAUUAUAUCAGUCUCUAUAUCAAUCAUGAUCAAUCUCUAUAUCAGUCACUAUAUCAGUCAAUAUAACAGUCACUAUAUCAGUCACAGGUCUUAUGGUCCAAAGGCCAGGCUUGUUUUUAAGACAUAAUAUCCUCAAUGCUGUGUAGAAUAACAGCAUUAUCAAUGGAGUAGAGGGGGGUGGGAGGUCUUUAACAGCAUUAUCGAUGGAGUAGAGGGGGGUGGGGGUCUUCAACAGAAGUAUCGCUAUAUAAUACAUCACUAUAACUACAUCGCUGCUGUUCAGACUCCACAGCAACAUUUUAAGAACUAUUCUAAAAAGCCCUGAUAAACAGUAGUCUACUGUAUGUGAUCACCAUGUCGGUUCACCACAAUCAGUAAAGCCCUGAUAAACAGUAGUCUACUGUAUGUGAUCCUCAGUGUCGGUUCACCACAGUCAGUAAAGCCCUGAUAAACAGUAGUCUACUGU
rnacentral:lncRNA from 1 species